GACGAACGCUGGCGGCGUGCCUAACACAUGCAAGUCAAGGAGGUGUAGCAAUACAUCGACUGGCGCACGGGUGCGGAACACGUAGGUAAUCUGCCCUUUAGGGGAGAACAACCAGUCGAAAGAUUGGCUAAAUCUCCGUAACGUCGCGAUGUGGCAUCACAUUGCGACCAAAUUUUCUGAAGGAUGAGCCUGCGUCUGAUUAGCUAGUUGGUAGUGUAAUGGACUACCAAGGCUUCGAUCAGUAGCUGGUCUGAGAGGAUGAUCAGCCAC
rnacentral:rRNA from 1 species